CUCAGAAAACAUGGUAGCGCCGGGACCUCUGGACCUGUAGUCAGCAACUCUUACUACCAGACAGAUGAUCUCAUAAUAUAUCACAGUACCUGUGAAGAAUGCUGAUUAUUGUAAGGUUUUGUGGUGUGACAUUGAUUCUGUACAGAACUGGAGCUUGGAUAACAUUAUGAAACUCUGUAUUAGUAAAAGCAUUUAGUUGUAAAUCUAACAGUAUUAACUUUAAUUACAAAUUGUGUAACAACUGAGUAUCACAUUCCCAUUUUGUUAAAGGUCGUGAAAUUUUGUUAGACUGUACGUUUUACUUUCACAGCCAUUUCAAUUACAUUUUCACUCAUGAUCUAAAAAAUAUCAUGUUUGAUUCAUUACAUUAAAUUAUAUUUCUUUUUCUUUUUCAACUGUCAGUGAUCUUGAUUUUUGUUAUAAUGCUCUAACGCAGUCUACAUUUAAGUAAGCUUCUGUUGGCUGAACUGAAUUAAAUUGACUGUUUCAUCCCAACUCACCAGAAUUUGAAAAAUGCUGCCAUGUGCUACAGUAGGUUUCUUAUUGGCACUUUGACAAUAAAUACAAUGAAAUGCUAGGUUGAAUCGUUCAAAAUUUCAAUCCAAGUGGCAACAGCUCAAUGUUCUAUUUCUUGUCAGAGUCUUCAUAAGCAAAUUUGAUUUCUCAUCCGUUCUUGAUACUGUUAGUUUUUGCGUACAUACUAGAUUUAAUCAGACUUCUCUAAUUCUGAUGUGUAGCAUCACGAAAAGGUAAAUUCUUGUGUCAAAUGUUCUUCUUCAGCAAAUGUAAUCUGCAUAUAUAUUGCUACUUUUAAUAGAAAAUUCAUUACCAAAUCAUUAAAUCUAUAAAUUAUGUGAGUAAUAAUGUAUAAUGUUUGCUUGUUCAAAUUCUUACUCUUAAUUAUGUAAUUUAGUUUCUAGUACCUUUUUAAUUGACUUCUUUUUCUCCCCUGGUGUGCUUAUUUUUUCCUACUUUAUUAAAGUCUGUUUACAGCUUCCUUCCUUUGAAUUUUUUUGGAGGCCUGCUUUUAAGCACUGUAAUAAUUGAACUGAUCUGAAGUAUUAUUUGUGAUGCCUUAGCAGGAAAGUAUGACAUUUGAUGAGCCUGGCUUCAUAAAACAAUAGUUUAUCUUCAAAUUCAAUUAGAAUUCCAUGGAUGAUUAUGGUGUAUUUAUAGCAGCAAUGGAAAAUCACAUACUUCAGAAAUAUGUAAUAAAUACCAAUCCACUUAAAAGAGAGGCUUAGAAUAUCUGAUAAUAUUCAGAGUAUUACUUUCUUAUCACUACUAGAUGGCACUGGACAAUGUGAAAAUUCACCUUCAUUGGUUAAAUGGUAAGGGUAAUAUAUUUAGCUAAGCCCUGCCAAGUAAAACAAAAUAAUUCAUUAUAAUAACAUUUGUUAUUGUAUAAGAAUAUGGAAAAGGGAAUUUCAUCCACAUGUUGGUUGUCAGAAAAGGAAAGAAAAAACAAGAUGAGAAAGAAAAUAAUAUCACUACCACUACAACUUAAUUUCUUUUGUACUAUUUACUACAGACAUGGUGAUUAUACUGACACUUGCAAAACAGUGCAGUACUUGCUCUGUACUUGGCUCUGUGUGCAUAAUUUACACAAGGAUGCUUGUGGCAUAUCUGGCAUAAAGUAGCUGUGUUGUUAAAAAAUAAGGCAAACAGUGAAUAUACACCUUACUUUAAAAUUUGCUAGGAAAUAAUUUAGUAAAAUAUAAUUUCAGUGAUCUCUUUCAAAACAAAACAUUGGCAUUCUACAGUUAAUAAUCAUGUGAUUAAUAAAUUCUACAUAUUCUUGAGCUAAAAUACAGAAGAAAUUUUACAUCUUAUUAUGUACUCAAUGAAAUCAAUUUACUGCAACCUGGACAAUUAUGAAUGCUAGAUGUUCUACAAAAGAUAAUUUUAAACAAAAUUCUGUUUACUGAGCACAUGAUCAGCAUUACCUUCACUGUCUCUGUUUCCUGAAGCUUCAAAUAUAUAUAUAUAUACACACACACACUCAUAGGUAGUGAGUAAUAUGCAGCAGAAUAUCACUAUAGAUUUUACUCCAACUUGAAAUGACUGGGCAGGUGAUUGAUAUGUUUCUGACUGGAAAGCACAUGAUAAACAUGCAGAUUACAGUAGUUGGGUACUGGCUACAUAUGUAUGCUAUAUCAGUAGAUAAACAAGUAGAAUGAAUAACAAGUUUAAAAAUAAUAUCAACAUUGCCAACAAAAUUUAUCAACAAUUUUUUUCUCAUUUUGUUUGAAACCCUAAUAUUUAAAAUGUACAGAAAAUUUUAUAUCCAUUUUAUCACUACAGCUAUUGACACAGCAGCAAUUUCAUAAAUACUUUGAUUUUCAUUGAAUGCUAAAAUAAUUAGUGUUGGAAUAUUAAACUUCAGCUGAAGUGAUUAUGUUAAUUAAUGGUCACUUUGUAAAUCACCAUAGAUUAAUUUCCUACAUGUCAAUGAGACCAUCAAUUUAUGGUAAAAUAUUAUAGUACAAUACAAUUAAUAUGAACUCUAUUAGGUAUGUGUAGCAAAAUGCAGUACAGAAUACAGACAAUAAUACACUGUUUCAUAAUUUAAAUUCAUUAGUGAGAAGAACGUGGGCUGGAAUCAAAGAUUCUGAAAAGACAGAACAACAAUUUGCCACUCAAAAUAUAUUGCACAUAGUGGAAUUACACAACUAGGAAGGUAUAAUUCCACAUAUUAAUAUAUUAAAAGCCAUUUCCUUACCAAAAUUUUUUGUUAUACAUCAAAAUUUGUGUUUGCCUCUAAACCUCAUACCCUCCUUUCCCAUAAUCAAAAUCUGAUUUGGUGUUUUAGUCCCACCCUGAUUUCCUUUACAUCCUUAACAUUAGUGUACACCCACAGAUAGACCACAGGGUUUAGUCAUUUCAAGGGCCAUAUUUUAUUGGUCUGUGGAAAUUUCAAUUUUAAAAUUCUUCAUAGAUUUCAUCAAAUACAAAUUUAUUCUUCUCCAAGGAACUGACAUUCGCUAGGUAAUCAUUUUACAAAACUAGAAAUCAUUGCAACUGGCACUCAACUUGACUCAAAGCUGAUAAUCAUGACAGAGUGUGACACUCAUACUUAUGGUUUGUGUUUCCAUUAAGAGAUGUCUUUAAGUUCAUUAUAAUUCUGGUUGUGAGGCUGUCGGGAUCAAGACUAUACAGCAUCAAUGACAGGAUGAUAAAUUAAUGUGGAGCAAAUGAUGGAAUGAGAACUGGCAGGAGAAACUCAGAGUACACUCCCCAUUGCCAUUCCACUUUGUUCACCACAAAUCCCACAGGUUAUGACCUAGGAAUGGGCCCAGGCUGCCAUGGUGGGAAACUGGUGACUAAAUGCCUGAAUUAUAGCACAGAUAUUACAAAUUUAAUCUGAAAAACAGCAACAAGAGAUCAUAUACAUUAUUUCAUUACAUCACCACUCUCACCAAGAAAUGAAAAUAGUUUUUUAAAACAUAUGCCUAAUGCACAGAAUUACAUAAUAUAAUAUAAUAUAAUAUAAUAUAAUAACUCAUGUGAAAACAGUAUCACAUCACCUCACAAUGUACUCAUUUUCUACUUGUUUGUGUUGGCAAACUGUUCUUCUCAUGCAGUAAUUUAUUACCUCCUUAAGACCCAUAGUCAUGUCAUGUCUCAAAUUAUCACUAGUUAUAAAUACUAUAUAAUUAGUAUUGCUAUAAGAAUUUUCUGACAUUCAACAUUAUGACAGAAUUUGCGUGACAGUUCACAUUAAGUUCUCAUAUCACAACAAAUUUUUAAUAUAAAAAUUGCAGGCUACAGAAUUGUAAUUUGUGAUUAAAGGUAUUAAAUGUGAAUGGCUACCUACUAACAUGCUUUACUUCUCUUCAAUAAAAAUUAACAAGGUACUCACUAUAAACUUUCAUAUAAGCACAUAAUUUCAUUUAGAAAGAAAACCAAAUGAACAAGAGCAAAUAUCAGUAUUAUAUUCUUAAAAUAAUUCCCAACUUUUCUGCAUCUUGCAUUUGGAUUAAACCUCAUUUUUUCUACCUGAAAUUUAGUCUCUACACAUAUAUACCUUUUCAUUUCUUCAAAAUACUAUUAAAGCUGAAUAAAUACUUGUAAAUUUUGACUGAAACGCA